CAUUUUGAUUGAGUGUGUGCGUUGUUGAGCGAUCCUAACAAUUAGUAUCAGAGCUAACAAUUGAUAUCGAUCCUAACACCCCAGCUUCCACCCAAGGACGGGAAAAAUGAGUUCCUAUGUCGAGACGAAAAAAACAUGUCGCAACUCACUUGAAGGACUCAUAAUACCUAGACAUGCCCUUGUCUCCCUGCAUUAUUGCUUUGUUCAACAAUGCUAAAAUCUAAAUGGGUUUUCUUAACUUGAUUCCAUUUUCAACUUUUUAUUGAUAGUCUCCUGAGCAUCAUCAAGCAGUAUGGUUCAGGUUUCAUUCCUAGUUGCCUUUUAUGAUGCAGGACCAUCAUGAUGAAGUUCUGAUCUGAUUAUAAAGACGAUUUUGUCGAAAAACAUGCGGUGAAAUUAGGAUUUAUGUCAGCGUUUGAAACAGGUCUUGUUUUGUUGUGGUACCCGUCAAUCGCAAUGCUGAAACAAUGAACUUUGCUGAGAUAGAGAAAGAGAACAAUGUUUUGUUCGCAUAUCCAUCGAGGUGGUGACUUCAAUGCUACGCCAUCAAUCUUUAAUAGGUAAUUCGCUCUCUUGAUAUAUGUUCAGAAAUUUCAGUAAAACAUAGACGGAUGAUCUUGGGGAAUCAGUGGGUGGCACGUGAAAUAAAAUUUACAACCUUAGAGGUGCAUAAAAGGAUAUAGCUGUAUAUUAAUUAAAGAAAUAUAUAAUUUUAACAAUACCAGGAUAUUUUUAAGCAUAAUUUUUUACUAGACUAAUGCAUUGAAGGAAGAUAGAAGUAAAGUGUUAUAAUGCAAAGUCGUAAUUUUCAAUAAAUGGUCGGGGGGUUUAUUCUA